CAUGGGCUAGCUCACUGGUUAGAGCUUAGGGCUUGUGACCGCGAGGUCACGGGUUCUAACCCCGCCAGAGGA
rnacentral:tRNA from 1 species